rnacentral:rRNA from 1 species
ACUCCUACGGGAGGCAGCAGUGGGGAAUAUUGGACAAUGGGCGCAAGCCUGAUCCAGCCAUGCCGCGUGAGUGAUGAAGGCCCUAGGGUUGUAAAGCUCUUUCACCGGUGAAGAUAAUGACGGUAACCGGAGAAGAAGCCCCGGCUAACUUCGUGCCAGCAGCCGCGGUAAUACGAAGGGGGCUAGCGUUGUUCGGAUUUACUGGGCGUAAAGCGCACGUAGGCGGACUCUUAAGUCAGGGGUGAAAUCCCGGGGCUCAACCCCGGAACUGCCUUUGAUACUGGUAGUCUUGAGUUCGAGAGAGGUGAGUGGAAUUCCGAGUGUAGAGGUGAAAUUCGUAGAUAUUCGGAGGAACACCAGUGGCGAAGGCGGCUCACUGGCUCGAUACUGACGCUGAGGUGCGAAAGCGUGGGGAGCAAACAGGAUUAGAAACCCUAGUAGUCCC